AUGUGCUGAAUAUAACGUUCAUGGAAGAGUCAUUCAGUCCAGUUUGGAAAACCAUUGUGAAACCUGUCCUGUUAGAUACAUAUCAACGGAUAUUUAUAAAUAUCAGAGUUGCUAUGAUAUAGUGACAAGCAGCUCUAAAGAAGUUUCCACAGUCAAGAUCGACAAUCAAAACAGAUGCAUGAUCGACAAUAAUCGUUGGAACAUGGUAUUUGCUUUAUUGGCAAUAUUAGCUGUUUUCGUUUUUGUGAUUGCUAUUGGAGUUGUUUUUAUUAUUAUCAGGUUGAAAUUAUUCUCGUCUCGCAAACAUGU